ACACUGGAGCAGGAAGUCGGCCUGUGGCCGGCCAUGUUCAUGAGGGCGCGUCCCUUGGCACCCCUGUAGCCGCUAUGUUUCCCACGCCCGUGGCAGGCCUGAGAGAUUAUGUUUGCGGGGGGUGCUUUUUUUGUAGCUUCUGUGUUCGCCAUAUUUGAAAGGGGCAGACGGCCAUGUUCGUGAACGGCGCUUCCCUUGGUGCACCUGUGGCCGCCAUGUUUGAGCGAGGACCCCGUGGCAGGCCAGGACCGUUUCUCCGGUGCUAUCCCAGAGCAUGGCGCAUCCACUCAUUCACUCAAGGGAAAGGCCUGAAAGUAAAAUUGUAUCAACAUUAGGUUUGGCUAAUGUUGCCAUUAGGCAAACCUAAUUUUAAUGAAGCCAGGAGGUUCUCGUUUUGGGCCUUGACUGGACAGGUUUGAGCUAGAAACCACUUGAAGUAUUGAUCAUCCAUCUGAUCAUCAAGUUUUUUUUUUUUUUUGAGUUGGAGUCUCACUCUGUUGCUCACGCUGGAGUGCAGUGGCACGAUCUCAGCUCCCUGCAACCUCCACCUCCCGGGUUCUCCUGCCUCAGCCUUCCAAGUAGCUGGGAUUAUAAGCGUGUGCCACCAUGCCUGGCUACUUUUUUAUAUUUUCGGUUGAGAUGGGGUUUCACCGCGUGGCCAGGCUGGUCUCAAACUCCUGACCUCAAGUGAUCCGCCUGCCUCGGCCUCCCAAAGUGCUGGGAUUACAGGCGUGAGCCGCCACUCCCAGCUUGUUCAUCCAGUUUUUAUUGAGCAUCUAUUAUGUGCCGAUAUUGAGGUAGACUCUGGGAGUCACAGCAGUGAAUGCAGCUGCCUGGAUGCCUCGUGAGGGCCGGAGCCUCACUGGGGAGAUGGACAUGAACAGCAAAUGCACAGCGAGGAAAGCCAGGGGUCUGUGCGGGGAUGCUGCAGGACACGAGAACCAGCCAAGACCUAUGGCCCCUGCAGCCACCGAGGGCUCGAGAGCGCCCCUGUGGACUUGGCUGGGCCCUUCAUGGUGACAUCCAGGAAUGCGGCUGAGCGCGGGUGUUGACCUCGCUGUUUGCUGGAAUGUUUGGGUUCUUGGACCAUGUCAGUGACGGCUGUGUCACCAUGGCCUUGCUAUCCCCAGGAAAACCUAACAUGCACCCCGCGCCUGUCCUCUGGGACUCCCAUCCUCCUCCUUUGUCUGACCCCUGAGAGGCUUACCGUUUCCCCAGGGCAGCCCCGGCUGUGGCCCUCGGCCCUGCUCCAGGCGGCCAUGUCAGUGUCCUCCCUCGGCGCUCCCAACACCCUACCUGGCUCUGCGAUGGCCACCCUGGACUCCUAAACACCCCAGAAAGGGAAGAGAUUUAAGAGGAACCUUGAUUCCUGCCAUUCUGCGCAGUCGUGGGUCCCUCCUCCACCUGGGGCCCUCAAGGGGAUUUCUGUCCGCACUCCCAGCCAGCGACCCCUCCCAGUUCCUGCAGCUGGAGCGGCCCUCUCUCCUGAACAUUCGGGCACCUGCGUCUGUCACUGCAGCCAGAGGGCUGGAGUGUCUUCGGUCAACUCGCCAUCCCUGCCACGGCUGGAGGCCACAUGUCCCAGAACCUACCUUGCUGGGAUGGGGGUUGGGGUGGCAGAGGCUGAACGCGUGUGAGGUUUGGGGGAGGACAAGCGGAGCGGGGAUGUGUGGGAGGUCCUGGUGUCCACCGUGAGGAUGGUCACACCCCAUAGCUUUGUUGAUGCUGUGGCUGUAGCAGGCCCAGUGGCUCCGCUGAGCCUCCCUAGCACCAGUGCCCAGUGAAGUGUGGGGGGCUGGACAUAGGUGGCCUCAGUUCCUGGGACUCCCCCAAAGCUCUGGUUUCCCCCCUGCUCCCAGGCUUCAGGUGGACGAGUUAGUGACCACCCCCACUCCAGACCUCCCUCCCCUAGCCACCCCCACAGUUAUAAAAACCUUCAUUCUCAUAUGGAAAAAAAAAAAAAAA
rnacentral:lncRNA from 1 species